rnacentral:rRNA from 1 species
GCACGGAAGUUAGCCGGCUCUUCCUCUUGUGGUACGUCAACUAUCGCCCUAUUCGAACGAUAGCGUGUUCUUCCCACAUGACAGGAGUUUACAACCCAAAGGCCUUCAUCCUCCACGCGGCGUCGCUCGGUCAGGGUUUCCCCCAUUGCCGAAGCCUCUCGG